rnacentral:rRNA from 1 species
GACGAACGCUGGCGGCGUGCUUAACACAUGCAAGUCGAGCGGUAAGGCCCUUUCGGGGGGUACACGAGCGGCGAACGGGUGAGUAACACGUGGGUGACCUGCCCUCAGCUCUGGGAUAAGCCUGGGAAACCGGGUCUAAUACUGGAUAUGACUCCAUGACGCAUGUUGUGGGGUGGAAAGCCUUGUGCGGCUGAGGAUGGGCCCGCGGCCUAUCAGCUUGUUGGUGGGGUGANGGCCUACCAAGGCGACGACGGGUAGCCGGCCUGAGAGGGCGACCGGCCACACUGGGACUGAGACACGGCCCAGACCUCCUACGGGGAGGCAGCAGGUGGGGAAUUCUUGCGCAAUGGGCGAAAGCCUGACGCAGCGACGCCGCGUGAGUGAUGAAGGCCC